UUUCCGUAGGUGAACCUGCGGAAGGAUCAUUAUUGAAUGAAACACUUCUGGCUUUAUGCUGUUGUGCUGGCCCUUUGGGCAAUGUGCACACGGCUCUGGUCACUUGUUUCUUCUGUUCCACCUGUGCACUGCCUGUAGACACGCUGUGUCUAUGAUAUUUGUUAACACACAACAAUGUUAGUUGGCAUGUUAUAUAUAAUAAUAAAAUGUACAACUUUCAACAACGGAUCUCUUGGCUCUC
rnacentral:misc_RNA from 1 species